GGAAAGUUGCAAAGUACUUUGAAGAGAGAGUUCAAGAGGACGUGAAACCGGUAGGGUGGAAGCAGAUAAAGUUGACGAACGUGUGUCGUAUUCAGAACUACAAUUUGUGGUUUGUUUUUACGAUCGAUGUGGGCUGGCGUCUUUGGUUAACUUAGUGUCUGGCGGCAAUGGUGACCCUGCGGAGGGAUACUCGGUUGUCGUGCGAUGCUUGGUAUGGCUAGAGGUUCGCUGGUUUUAUAGUCAUCGCUUUAUCUGACCCGUCUUGAAACACGGACCAAGGAGUGUACCGCUUACGCGAGUCUUAAAGUGUGUCAAAACUUUGAGGCGUAACGAAAGUAAAUGUGGAUUUAUUCACUGACUUGGGAUACGUUGUCUUUUUUGGAUAGCGUUGGACCAUGGUUUUAUCGUAAUCGCUUGCGAUGCGGUGAAAAUAGAGCGUAAGCGGUGCGACCCGAAA
rnacentral:rRNA from 1 species